GGAAACUGCAGGAAAAUGCAGCAGUUUUGGCCGAUUUUUCAACCUCAGUUUCUCCCUCAUCCGGCCACCAAAUCAGUCGUGUGAGGCAGCAGAGGCCAAACUGAGCCACAGGAGGGACCUUCAAGAGGUCCAGCUAGAUCGGACCAGCAGCAGUAGACGUGCACAGGAAUCCACCACCAGGCCUUCUCCAGCUCCCACGCUACUUACAAGAUGUAGGAUUGGUUGUAAGCUACUUAAAGUCUUGUAAAUAAUUAGUAACUGCUCUGAUAUCUGGUUGGAUUAGAUAACCAGAACUGGUGAAUAUUUAGUUACCCUAUUCUGGCAGUUGGUGUGGUUUUAGUUGAUUGUUUGACAUGUGAAAAAUUUGGGUUUAGUCAAAUUACAGGGGAGACUCUGCCGAAUUUUCGGCAGGAGUCCAGAGAAAGUUUAAACCGUAUUUAUUAGCAGGAAGGGUAAAGAGGUCAUUGUGCCCGACAUUUGCCAGGUGUCGGACACGCACAGGGCUUGGCUCGAAUUCCAAAGUGGAAAUUGGGUCGGGUCGUGUCAGCUGGAGCAAUGUGGAUGGAUUAUAUUUAGAAUCAUUAGUCUUAUAAUUUAUUUAGUCUAGAAUAUUUUAAUUUAAUAUGUAUUAUUUAAGACUUGAAGACCAAUUGAGCUUGUUGAUCAUA